rnacentral:rRNA from 1 species
UGGGGAGUAUCGGACAAUGGGCGAAAGCCUGAUCCAGCCAUGCCGCAUGAGUGAAGAAGGCCUUUGGGUUGUAAAGCUCUUUUAGUGAGGAAGAUAAUGACGGUACUCACAGAAGAAGUCCUGGCUAACUCCGUGCCAGCAGCCGCGGUAAUACGGAGAGGGCUAGCGUUAUUCGGAAUUAUUGGGCGUAAAGGGCGCGUAGGCUGGUUAGUAAGUUAAAAGUGAAAUCCCGAGGCUUAACCUUGGAACUGCUUUUAAAACUGCUAACCUAGAGAUUGAAAGAGGAUAGAGGAAUUCCUAGUGUAGAGGUGAAAUUCGUAAAUAUUAGGAGGAACACCAGUGGCGAAGGCGUCUAUCUGGUUCAAAUCUGACGCUGAGGCGCGAAGGCGUGGGGAGCAAACA